rnacentral:rRNA from 1 species
GAUGAACGCUGGCUGCUUGCCUAAUACAUGCAAGUCGAGCGAACAGACGAGGAGCUUUCUCCUCUGACGUUAGCGGCGGACGGGUGAGUAACACGUGGAUAACCUACCUAUAAGACUGGGAUAACUUCGGGAAACCGGAGCUAAUACCGGAUAAUAUAUUGAACCGCAUGGUUCAAUAGUGAAAGACGGUUUUGCUGUCACUUAUAGAUGGAUCCGCGCCGCAUUAGCUAGUUGGUAAGGUAACGGCUUACCAAGGCAACGAUGCGUAGCCGACCUGAGAGGGUGAUCGGCCACACUGGAACUGAGACACGGUCCAGACUCCUACGGGAGGCAGCAGUAGGGAAUCUUCCGCAAUGGGCGAAAGCCUGACGGAGCAACGCCGCGUGAGUGAUGAAGGUCUUCGGAUCGUAAAACUCUGUUAUUAGGGAAGAACAAAUGUGUAAGUAACUAUGCACGUCUUGACGGUACCUAAUCAGAAAGCCACGGCUAACUACGUG